AGGACGAACGCUGGCGGCGUGCCUAACACAUGCAAGUCGAACGGGGCCCGCAAGGGUUCAGUGGCGAACGGGUGCGUAACACGUGAAGAACUUGUCCAUCGGCGGGGGAUAGCCGGCCCAACGGCCGGGUAAUACCGCGUACGUUCUUCGAGGGGCAUCCCUUGAAGAGGAAAGCAGCAAUGCACCGAUGGAGAGCUUCGCGGCCUAUCAGCUUGUUGGCGGGGUAAUGGCCCACCAAGGCAACGACGGGUAGCUGGUCUGAGAGGAUGAUCAGCCACAUUGGGACUGAGACACGGCCCAGACUCCUACGGAGGCAGCAGUGGGGAAUAUUGCGCAAUGGGCGAAAGCCUGACGCAGCGACGCCGCGUGUGGGAUGAAGCUUUUCGGAGUGUAAACCCUUUCGACCCGGAAGAAAUGCCCGCAAGGGUUUGACGGUACGGGUAUAAGAAGCCCCGGCUAACUACGUGCCAGCAGCCGC
rnacentral:rRNA from 1 species